rnacentral:tRNA from 1 species
ACCGUAGUAGUGUAGGACGGUGGUAGCACUUGUUACGCCAACUAAUACAGCCCGGGAUCAAAACCCGGCUACGGCA